rnacentral:rRNA from 1 species
UGGGGAAUAUUGCACAAUGGGCGCAAGCCUGAUGCAGCCAUGCCGCGUGUAUGAAGAAGGCCUUCGGGUUGUAAAGUACUUUCAGUCGGGAGGAAGGUGUCAAGGUUAAUAACCUUGGCAAUUGACGUUACCGACAGAAGAAGCACCGGCUAACUCCGUGCCAGCAGCCGCGGUAAUACGGAGGGUGCAAGCGUUAAUCGGAAUUACUGGGCGUAAAGCGCACGCAGGCGGUUGAUUGAGUCAGAUGUGAAAUCCCCGGGCUUAACCCGGGAAUUGCAUCUGAUACUGGUCAGCUAGAGUCUUGUAGAGGGGGGUAGAAUUCCAUGUGUAGCGGUGAAAUGCGUAGAGAUGUGUAGGAAUACCGGUGGCGAAGGCGGCCCCCUGGACAAAGACUGACGCUCAGGUGCGAAAGCGUGGGGAGCAAACA